GACGAACGCUGGCGGCGUGCUUAACACAUGCAAGUCGAACGGAAAGGCCCCUUUGGGGGUACUCGAGUGGCGAACGGGUGAGUAACACGUGAGUAACCUGCCCUUGACUUCGGGAUAACUUCAGGAAACUGGGGCUAAUACCGGAUAGGAAUCCUUGCUGCAUGGUGGGGGUUGGAAAGCUUCGGCGGUUUUGGAUGGACUCGCGGCUUAUCAGCUUGUUGGUGGGGUAGUGGCUUACCAAGGCUUUGACGGGUAGCCGGCCUGAGAGGGCGACCGGCCACAUUGGGACUGAGAUACGGCCCAGACUCCUACGGGAGGCAGCAGUGGGGAAUGUUGCACAAUGGGCGGAAGCCUGAUGCAGCAACGCCGCGUGCGGGAUGACGGCCUUCGGGUUGUAAACCGCUUUCAGCAGGGGCGAAGCUUGUGGUGACGGUACCUGCAGAAGAAGCACCGGCUAACUACGUG
rnacentral:rRNA from 1 species